CCUACGGGAGGCAGCAGUGAGGAAUAUUGGUCAAUGGACGAGAGUCUGAACCAGCCAAGUAGCGUGAAGGAUGACUGCCCUAUGGGUUGUAAACUUCUUUUAUAUGGGAAUAAAACGUUCCACGUGUGGGAUUUUGUAUGUACCAUAUGAAUAAGGAUCGGCUAACUCCGUGCCAGCAGCCGCGGUAAUACGGAGGAUCCGAGCGUUAUCCGGAUUUAUUGGGUUUAAAGGGUGCGUAGGUGGAUUGUUAAGUCAGUUGUGAAAGUUUGCGGCUCAACCGUAAAAUUGCAGUUGAAACUGGCAGUCUUGAGUAGAGGAGAGGUGGGCGGAAUGCGUGGUGUAGCGGUGAAAUGCUUAGAUAUCACGAAGAACUCCGAUUGCGAAGGCAGUUCACUGGACUGCAACUGACACUGAGGCUCGAAAGUGUGGGUAUCAAACAGGAUUAGAUACCCGUGUAGUC
rnacentral:rRNA from 1 species